rnacentral:rRNA from 1 species
UGCCACCGCCGCGGUAAUACGGAGGGGGCAAGCGUUGUUCGGAAUUACUGGGCGUAAAGGGCGCGUAGGCGGUUUUGUAAGUCGGAUGUGAAAUCCCAGAGCUCAACUCUGGAACUGCAUUCGAAACUAUGAGACUAGAGUCUGGCAGAGGGUGGUGGAAUUCCCCGUGUAGAGGUGAAAUUCGUAGAUAUGGGGAGGAACACCGGAGGCGAAGGCGGCCACCUGGACCGGUACUGAAGCUGAGUCGCUAAAGCGUGGGGAGAAAACAGGAUUAGAUA